GGAAACAGCCCUGACCGCCAGCUAAGGUCCCUAAGUUAUCACUAAGUGGGAAACGAUGUGGGAGUGCUUAGACAACCAGGAGGUUGGCUUAGAAGCAGCCAUCCUUUAAAGAAAGCGUAACAGCUCAUCGGUAUAAUUUUUUUGUGUUGAAAAUGUAAAGGGACUAAAAUUAUUUGCCGAAGCAGUAAAUUUAAAUUUUUUAAUAAUUUAAAUGGUAGCAGAACGUUCUGUAAAUUUAUGAAGAAUUAUGGAAACAUAUUUUGGAAAAAUCAGAAGUGAUAAUGUUGGUAUGAGUAACGAAAAACAAUGUGAAAAACAUUGUCGCCUUAAAUUCAAGGUUUUCAAGGGAAGGCUAAUCCUCCUUGAUAGUAAAUCGGUCUCUAAGAAACAAACGAAAGUUUUUAUCGAUGAGUAAAAGAUUAAAAUUUCUUUUUAUAAAUAAAGUGACAAAAUAUGAAUAUUAUUUUUAUUUUAUGGUAUAAAUAAAAGUUUUAUAGUAUUUUCAAGAAAUAGCUUUAUUAAAAUUAUUUUUAUUUUUAAAACCGUACCGUAAACCGACACAGGUAGGUGGGGUGAGUAUCCUAAGGCGCUCGAGAAAACCACCGUUAAGGAACUCGGCAAAAUGACCCCGUAACUUCGGGAGAAGGGGUGCCUCCAUCUUUAAAACAUGGGGGCCGCAGUGAAUAGCGAGGGGCAACUGUUUAACAAAAACACAGGUCUCUGCAAAGUCGAAAACGACGUAUAGGGGCUGACGCCUGCCCAGUGCCGGAAGGUUAAGAGGAGCGGUUAGCGCAAGCGAAGCUGUGAAUCGAAGCCCCGGUGAACGGCGGCCGUAACUAUAACGGU
rnacentral:rRNA from 1 species